UGGUUGCUCCUGUCCCAGAUCCCGAUGACGAGUCUAAAGCUGCAGGAGGAAUUUUAGUUUGUGCCCUGAGGCAGGCAGGGGAAGGCUCGUGGUCGUCCUGUCUACUGGGAAUGCGUUUUUUACAGAAGAGAAAUCCAAAGCUCAGCUGCAUGGCCUAAGAUGAUACCAAUAAGAAGGAAGAAAUGUGAUUCCUUCCCAAGUAUGUGUGUCUUCAGCCUAGGCUCUUUCUGCAACUCUCAGACACGGGAUAUUAUUUACCUGUUUACAAGUCUGCUUCAGACCAUGAAACCUUCAAAACCAGGGACAUCCAGGGCCCAAUUAAUCUUAACCCUUGUUUGCUAAAUGAAUUCCUAAAUAAACUGUGUCAGUUCCCACUGA